rnacentral:lncRNA from 1 species
CUUUCAUUUAACAAAUUAUAAUUUAUAAAUACAUACAUGAAUACAUACAUAUAUCAUAUAUGUGUUGCAAUAAUGUCAUUGCUCAAGUGAAUUCUAACAUGCUUUCUGGAAUAGGUGAUAAAAGCAAGGAUUCUAAUAUCAAUUCAUGUUUUUCAUACAUGUGAAUGUCACUCAAGUGUUUGAAAAAGAUGAUUUGGGGGUUGUUACAAAAUAUAUCAUCUUAUGAAUAUACAGUAGUCGUAAUGUCUUUGAUCAGCUCACGAAGACUUACCCUCUCCUUUGAGGAUCCAAAGAAAAUAUGUAAAAGUCAGACACAUAGUAAAAAUACCAAUAAUACUAGGAACAACACUGUUAUUGGUCAACUUUCAUUAUGUAGAAGUUACCGUGCAAGGUACGAUAUUUAUUAUACAAAGUGGCAAUUAAUCUUCACAACAAUCCAGGGAGGUGGUGUGUAAGAAUCAGUAGUCAAUAAAGUGCAAUACAGAAAUGAGGACCCUGGAAGUUAAGUGACUUGAUUAUCAAAGUAAAGGAUUAGAUCCCUUGAUUCCAAAGCUUAUAUUCUUAUCCAUUACACAACACUGCCUGUCAGAUCACAAUCAGAUGGCUGUUUAGAGAGCAUAGAAUCAGAACUGGGACAGAACAAUAAAUCAAAUGAGAACUGGGAAAUCAUUCAAGACACAAGACAGAAACAACCUCAGGUAUGUAGGAAGCAAAGGAUUUUAUAAGGAAUCAUUAUCAAUAAACUGAAUUUUAUUCUAUGUGCAGAUUCAAUAGAAAAUAUUCACAGAACAAAAACAUUCACUUUUUUACUUUUCAAAAUAGGCAUCAGCUAACUGUACUUUUAAAGUAGCUUAUUUUUUAUAUCUAAAGUAACCAUAUAACUCUUAAACAAAAUAUAGAGGCAUUUAUUGGGCACUGGAACAAACCAACUUGUCAAUUAUUUAAUGAGUUUCUAUUUGUAAAAGUCCUGUUCAGUGGCCAUGUAGUUUUAUGCAUAAGAUAAGAUUUCCAUAAAUAUUUUUUGAUUGCUCUAUGUUUAUGUAUCUAAAUGGACCAAUACUGCAUCCUUUCUGUGUAUUUCCUGUCUUCCCAAAAGAAAUGUUGCUUGAUUCAAAAAGAGUUAGUGACAGAAAAAAAAAAAAAAAAAAAAAAAAAAAAAGGAAAAGAAAAAACAAAACACCCCUACCAACAAAAAACACUAACUUGAAACUUAGGCAAACUCAUUUGAGAAGAGAUUUUAAUGGAGGCCUUAGGGAAAUGCCUAUUUGAGAAGUACAAAACUGAGGCUGAAAAUGUUCAAACAUGGAUGACUGAUGGUUAUUACGGCUUGAUAGCAUGAUCUAAUAGUCCAAACUCUUUAUUUUGCAAUCUGCACUUGGAGUCUCUUCUUGUGUAAUAAACUACUCAUGAAUUUUACUGCUUAUACUUCACAAAACGUAUAUCAGCGUUAUGAAAACCUUGGACUUGGUGUUGUCAGGAAAGAACCAAAAUGGUCUCUAAAGAACAAAGUCAUCGAAUAGAAUCAGUUCCAUGUUUCCCUGGGACAGAACCAAAUGGAAGGCAGCAAGCCUUCUGAAAUAAAUAUUCCAAAACAGAUGGUGUCACAAAAAUAACAAAACAGAGGAGUUGUUCCCAUAUGGAUACAAAAUUAUUGUAUGGACCUAAAGAGUGCGCAUUCCUUGUGUAGAAGGCCAGGACAUUGCAAUGGUGUGAUUAUGAUGGACAUGGCCACCUCUGAAUAGACACUGGAGAUGUGUUCUCUUGUACCACGCAUGAAAGUGGUCUUCUGCCAGACAGAAAUCAUGGUAAACAUGUUAUCAAUCUCAACACCUGUUAAAAAAAAACCCAAGACUCUUCAUAUAUUUUAAUAUACAUCAAAAAGUAAAUAGAUUGGCCAUUUUUUCCUAUCUCAAGGUUUUAUCUUGUCCAGUCUCUGCUUAAAUGCUACCUUUUCUGUGAUGCUUCGUCUAUCAUAAAAAUAUCUAGAUAAGGAGGAGCUCACCAGUAAGCCAACUAGUCAGCCUUUCUGGUAAACUAGGAAAGCCAAUGUGGGGUCCAAGAAGGGAAAAAUCUGAUAGCACCCUCUGUGAGCCUACUGGUGUGCAGACUGAGAAUCACCAACUCCCUACUCCAUAAGCAAUCAGCUGGUUCAGAGGACAGGCUGAAUUGAUAGAAACUAAAGUAUAAAAAGCAACUGAGUGCUUGUAUUGUUUAGUAGACUUUGCAGGCCUGGGGCCAGCAGACUGAGCAUGUAUAGGGAGGAUGACAUUAUGCAAUAUAGCAAAUAUGGGGGAUUUCCUUUUUGAAAUCCAACAUUGUUCUCACUGUUUUGUUUUGCUCUGAUUGUUUUGCUUUAUUCAAUAUUCUGUUUUGAUUAGUUUUAUUCUGUUUUGUUUUGGUUUGAUUUUGCUAUAUCUGAUGGAAUAGACAACUAUUGUGAAAAUGACAAGAUAUACUAUGGUAGCCAUUGUUGUUUUCCUGUUAUCCUGCUUUGAAGUUCUGUACCAAUUUCACGGCUUUGUUUAAAUUGGAUUUAUUCUGUUUUGUUGGGUUUUAUUAUCUUUUUAAAAAAACUAGAUAAAUGGGGCUGAGCGGCAUAGCUCAGCGGCAUAAGCGCCUGCCUUGCAAGCACGCAGUCAUGAGUUCAAUCCCUGGUACCAAUUAAAAAAAAAAAAACUAGACAAAUUAUAUCAUCUGUCCCUAAACCUACCUAUACAUGAGUUUCAGGUCUUAAAAUAUGGGUUUCUAUAUUUAACACUGAGAUAUUAUCAUUUAGUAGAGAAGGCCUGCGAUGUGGCUUAGGGCUCUUUGGAGAACUCUAAUCUGAGAAUAACUUGGAUAAUAUAAUCUGAGGAGUUUCUUACAAAAAUGUUUAUCAUUUGCUCAUAUUUGUCUUUUCUUUUUUUUGAGACAGGGUCUUGCUCUGUAAUUCAGUUGGGCUUAAGCUCACUGUAUAGCCCAGGUUGGUCUCACACUUGUGGUAUCCUCCUGCCUUGGCUCCCAAGUACUGAGAUUAAGGCAUAUGCCACCAUGACAAGGUUCAUAUUUUAGCUUACUAAUCACAAAACCAAAAACAUUUCUAAUGCUUAGAUAGCAAAUUUUAGGUACUUAGCAAAAUAAAGCCCACAUCUGAAGAAUGGAGACAACCAUGAAUUAAAUUAUGUUUUUAAAAAGAUAUACCAAAUCAUAUAAAAUGGCCAAAUGCCAACAAAGUGGCAGAAACUCAGACCAAAUUUGUGAAGACUGGAAAACAGUCAAAAAAGUUAAAGUGGGCCGGGAAUUUAGCUCAGUGGCAUAAGGCCUGCCUUACAAGCAUGUAGUUGUGAGUUCAAUCCAUGGUACUGAAAAAAGAAAAAAAAAGUUAGAGCGACCGAGUCUGAAAUCAAAAAAGGGCAUUUCCAAAUGUGUUUUGUAGCAUGUCACAUGCUUACCUUACUCUCUCCCUCAUCUCCCUCAUGUAUCAGUCUUUUUUGUUGUUGUUGUUUUUGUCUUUCUGAGACAGAGUCUCUAUGCAGGCAGGUCAAGCUGGCCUUGAGCUCACUUUGUAGCUUAGGCUGGUCUCAAACUCCCAAUGACCCUCCUGCCUCAGCUCCCGAGUGCUAGGAUUACAGGCAUGAACCACCAUGCCCGUCCUCAUGGCGUCAUUCUUAAAGGGUGUAAGUUUCAGAAUAUAAAAUGGACAUGAUUUUAAAAUAAAAGCUUCAAAGCGCAGCAGGACAUCAGCAAAUGGAGCAAUAUCCCCAUUUCUGGAUAGGCAAAAAAGCAUAGUCAAAAUGGUCAUAUUUCCAAAAUUGAUACACAGGUUUACUGCAAUUCCAAUAAAAAUACAAAUAGCACUUUUCACAAAACUAGAGAAAACAAUCCUAAAAUUCAUAUGGAAACAGAAGCGACCUAGAAUAGCAAAAGCAAUGCUAGGCAACAAGAGAAAGGCAGGAGGCAUCACAAUCCUGCAUUUCAAAG